rnacentral:rRNA from 1 species
GUAAAGCACUUUCAGUAGGGAGGAAGGUAGUGUAGUUAACACCUGCACUAUUUGACGUUACCUACAGAAGAAGCACCGGCUAACUCCGUGCCAGCAGCCGCGGUAAUACGGAGGGUGCGAGCGUUAAUCGGAAUUACUGGGCGUAAAGCGCAUGCAGGCGGCCUGUUAAGUCAGAUGUGAAAGACCCGGGGCGUUAACCUCGGAAUUGCAUUUGAAACUAGGCAGGCUAGAGUCUUGUAGAGGGGGGUAGGAAUUUCAGGUGUAGCGGUGAAAUGCGUAGAGAUCUGAAGGAAUACCAGUGGCGAAGGCGGCCCCCUCGGACAAAGACUGACGCUCAGAUGCGAAAGCGUGGGGAGCAAACAGGAUUAGAUACCCUGGUAG